AGAGUUUGAUCCUGGCUCAGGAUGAACGCUGGCGGUCUGCUUAACACAUGCAAGUCGAACGGAGUAGAAAUACUUAGUGGCGGACGGGUGAGUAACGCGUGAGAAUCUGCCUUCAGGACGGAGACAACAGUUGGAAACGACUGCUAAGCCCCGAUGAACCGAAAGGGAAAAUAUUUAUAGCCUGAAGAUGAGCUCGCGUCCGAUUAGCUAGUUGGCGGAGUAAAAGCCCACCAAGGCGACGAUCGGUAGCUGGUCUGAGAGGACGAUCAGCCACACUGGGACUGAGACACGGCCCAGACUCCUACGGGAGGCAGCAGUGGGGAAUUUUCCGCAAUGGGCGAAAGCCUGACGGAGCAAGACCGCGUGGGGGAAGAAGGCUCUUGGGUUGUAAACCCCUUUUCUCUGGGAAGAAAGUUGUGAAAGCAACCUGACGGUACCAGAGGAAUCAGCAUCGGCUAACUCCGUGCCGGCAGCCGCGGUAAGACGGAGGAUGCAAGCGUUAUCCGGAAUGAUUGGGCGUAAAGCGUCCGCAGGUGGCAGUUCAAGUCUGCUGUCAAAGACCGGGGCUUAACUUCGGAAAGGCAGUGGAAACUGAACAGCUAGAGUAUGGUAGGGGCAGAGGGAAUUCCUGGUGUAGCGGUGAAAUGCGUAGAGAUCAGGAAGAACAUCGGUGGCGAAGNNNCUCUGCUGGACCAUAACUGACACUCAGGGACGAAAGCUAGGGGAGCGAAUGGGAUUAGAUACCCUAGUAGUCC
rnacentral:rRNA from 1 species